AUCACGCUCCCUCGCGCUCAAAGGGCGCGGCCGUGUUUGUGUGGGGACGUUGCGGGGCCCUCGGCGGCCCCGGGCGGGGGUGCGGUGCGCGCGGCGCUGCCUCGGAGCUGAGAGGGCUCUACGCGGCACUGCCGUGCUCUGCCCCGCCGUUGGGGGGCGCUCGCUGCGUCGCGCUCGCUGCGGCCCGGCCCCGGCCCGGCCCCGGACGCCAUCUUCUCGCCUCGGGCGUGAGGGAGUCGCCGAGGCCUGCGGGGCGGGCGGCGCUGCCUUCGUGUGCCCCUCAGGCUGAGGGGAAGGAGCUGAAAGUACGGCCUGAAACCUUCUGAGUGUCUGAGAUUAUGGGUUACGUUUCUUUGCAAGCAUCUCAAAAAGACUAACUCUCUGAGCCGGCUGUUAGUGCUUUCCAGCCGCCCUGGCUCCCACCCCCUGAGCUCUGACCGAGCGCGUGCCGUAAUGUAACGUCCCCCUCUCUGAAGGACCGCGUGUGUAAAACGUGCUCAGCAGCUGAUGCGCACCUCUUCUGUAAAGCCCUGUGGAAGAUGAGCCCCGUUUGCGGAAGAAUGCUGAGGUGACUCAUCCAUCUGUAACUAGAGCAAAAAUUCCAGGUAAGCAUUAUCCUAUCCUUAAAUAGUUCCGUGUGUGCUCUUAGAGUGCUCCCUUGGGGUUUUAGAGUACUUUAUCGCCAUUCAUUCAUUAAUUCAUUAAUCUUCAAGAUGAAGGAAAUAAAAUAUAGACAAACUCA